rnacentral:lncRNA from 1 species
AGAAACCUGUCUUAAAACAGCCGCUAGGGGGCCCUAAAGGCAUCUCAAAGAGGAAGCCAGAAAAGCUGCUCUCACCUCCGCUUUUCCCUGUUUGAUUUUCUGUGUACCUCUUGGAACUGGACUCUAAAAACAAGUUAAGAGAGCAUGGUGCAAAGUCUGGAAGCAAAUCUAGCUUUAUGUUUUAAGAGACCAGAGUCCCAUUUUGACUCGUGAAUCAAGAAUUUAGUUUCCCCACUCUCGUCUUGCCUCCAAAAAAAUAACGAAAAAGGAAUAUUUCACUCAUCCAGAUGAAGGUGGCCUGAUCCUCUUACCAUCUUAAAGUCAACCAGGUUGUUUUCGCUAUUCCGAAGAGAAUCUGCUUCCUAAGGUUUGAGGGCUGUCUUCUGAAUGUUUGAAACAUUGUUCAAGUGCUAGGUAGCAAGAUGAAUGAAUUCUCACAGGGGUGAUAUGAAAAAUAUGUGACAACCUAGACAGCAGGGCACCCACCAGCCAACUUAUGGGAAGUCAAGCCAGCCUUAAGGAUGCUAGCACCAGAGCAGAGUCCUGGAGACCCCUGCUGAAGCUUGAGCACAUGACCUAGACUGAGCCAAUCAAAUGUCCCCAUAAAGGACUUUGACGUCCGAGAGAGCAAAGCAGACAGCCAGGUCAAUUGGAGCUUGUUCCUGGUGGCCAUGGUAGAAUUGAAAAUCUGGGGCAGCAGCAGUGGCUUUCCUGGGAUGACAGUACCCACAGUGGCAUCCUAACCAGACUCUCUGAGGUAAAGCUCACCACAGGAUCACCAGAGGAUUGAGGGUAUGUGAGAACUAUUUUUAAGAAGUCAUCUGACAGUGUUUGGUAAAUGGAGGCCAGCUACCCGCUCUCCAUUCCCCUGUGCUCUGAAUCUCCAGACCCGUCUAACAAGGAGGACAUCUGUGGACUCAGCAUUCUCUGAACAGCCUCAAAUACUGACCAGCUCUUAAGUCUUCUUUUCUUUGAGCUGCUUGUCAUCCAAGAACUCAAAGAAAAGCAGAUUUGCGUCAUAGGCCAGAGGGUGUCUUGGAACAAGGACUAAAUUCUGGAAGGCUGCGUGUUUCCUCUAUGGAGAAACAAACCAAACAUAGGAUGAGAACUAAGAUUUUUUGGUUUUGUUCUUAUUUUCCCUUUCUCUGGUUAUAGGCUCACUUUUCACAGCAUCCUGCUCACCCACCCUUGCAGUUGGACGCAUGGAUCUAUCAGGGUCAAUCAGAUCUUCUCUCAAAGGAAUGGGUGGUGCUAAAAUGAAUCUGAUUCAGCCCCCUAGGAAGUGCUGUGUCCCUGUUCCCUACAUGCUAGAGUUGCCCUGCUUCCUGAUUGUUCAGUUCUAGCUCUGAUUUGCUGAGUGACCUCAUUGUUCUUCUAAUGAAGCUCCCUUCCUUAUUUCUGUUGCUCACAUCCUGAGAAUUCUGACCAACAUACCCAGAUAGAAAACAAAUUAGUGGGGAAAGACAUAAGUGUACUAUCACUGAAAACCACACAGACAGUCAUUUUACACUU